AGGAUGAAUGCUGGCGGCGCGCCUAACACAUGCAAGUCGAGCGGAAAGGCCCUUCGGGGUACUCGAGCGGCGGACGGCUGAGUAACGCGUGGGAACAUGCCCCAAAGUGAGGAAUAACUGCCCGAAAAGGGUAGCUAAUGCCGCAUAUGAUCUUAGGAUUAAAGGAUUUAUCCGCUUUGGGAGUGGCCCGCGUACGAUUAGGUAGUUGGUGAGGUAAAGGCUCACCAAGCCCACGAUCGUUAACUGGUCUGAGAGGAUGAUCAGUCAGACUGGAACUGAGACACGGUCCAGACUCCUACGGGAGGCAGCAGUGAGGAAUCUUCCACAAUGGGCGAAAGCCUGAUGGAGCGACGCCGCGUGCAGGAUGAAGCCUUGGGUUGUAAACUGCUUUUAUAAGUGAAGAAUAUGACGGUAACUUAUGAAUAAGCACCGGCUAACUACGUGCCAGCAGCCGC
rnacentral:rRNA from 1 species